UUCUUUACCUUUCCGACACCAUUGCCCAGCCUGAGUAUUUGCACUUUCUCCCUGGAGUUUAGCAAAUGUCUGAGUGCAGAGAGGGAACCGGCCCACCGUCCCGAAACAGACGAAUAAAUAACUCUGGCGGCGCGCCUCAUACUAGAGCUUGUGCAAGCAAGUGGACCAGAAAUAGCUCAGGGUAGAAGACUCCCAGCGGCGCCAUAGGAAGAAUGAGGCACAAGCCAAUUUUGUACCCUGAAACGGACAUUCCCCGGCUGGAAAAAGCUUGAGUAAAAAGGAGCCAGAGUCAUCUGAAAGGAGGGAACUGCAACUGAGAAAAUGCCUGUCAUAAGAUGCUGAUCAGCUGGGCUGAAGAAUCAGCUGUGAUUCACUGAAGUCAAAUCUCCUGGGAAGUGUUUCCUCAGAAGCCGUGCUCCAGAGGUGGCCAAGGUUGAACCUCAUGCCGGCAGCCGAACUUGGUUGCGUAAGAGUGACCCAGCUGAUAACUGCUUUAAAGGUAUAAAGGGAUCAUGGACAGCAGCUGAGGCUUGACCCUGUGUGGCAGGCCUGGAGUCCCUGAAAAGAGCCCAGGAGAGGUUAAAGGUGAAAGUGCAGCCCAGCUCCUGUAGAAGAGUCCAGCAUUUUGGAGAUGCCAGUACCAGGGGACAACCUCCAAGAACAGCAGCAGGUGUGGAGUGGAGCCAGCCUGAGCCUAGAAGACAUGUUCUGUGUGCUACAGAGGACAGAGCCAGAGAAGUGACCAGGCCCUUUGGAGGAGCUCAGAAGAUCAGGAGAGACGUCCAGACAUUGGAGGCUGAGUCAUUUACUGUUGGAACUUGGUUUUGCUUUGCUCAGGCUAUCUGUGGGCUGGUUCUUCUCUCUUGAGGUAAUAAAGUAACUUAUAUUUUAUUUUACAGGAGCAAAUUUGAAUAUUUUAAAGAGACUUUGGACUUUUACUAUUUGAAUUUUAUUUAUUUAUUUCAUGUAUGUGAGUACACUGUCGCUAUCUUCAGACACACCAGAAGAGGACAUCGGAUCCUCAUUACAGAUGGUUGUGAGCCACCAUGUGGUUGCUGGGAAUUGAACUCAGGACCUCUGGAAGAGCAGUCAGUGCUCUUAACCACUGAGCCAUCUCUCCAGCCCCACUAUUUGAAUUUUUUAAAGAUUUAUUUAUUUUUAUGUGCACUCGUGUUUUUCCUGCAUGUAUGUCUGUGUGGUGGGGCCAGAUCCCCUUGAACUGAGUUUCAGACAGUACUGAGCUGCCGUGUCAGUGCUGGGAAUUGAACCCAGGUCCUCUGGAAGGACAUCCAGUGCUCUUAACCACAGAGCCUUCUCUCUAGCCCUACUGUUUACAUUUUUAAAUUCUAUGGGACGUUUAAAUUUGGGGAUGUUUUAGACUGUGGUGUCAAUAUUAAUGUGUGAUCUUGGGAGUGAACAGAAAGGAAAGGUUAUGGCUUAAUACUGAAGCGAUGUGUCUGUGUGUCAAGCUGACAAGGGGUCAGUUAUUCUUGGUAGCCUGAUGUCACCUUGAUACACAGGCUAGAGUCAUCUGAGAGAUGGGAACCUCAAUUGAGAGGAAUGAGAUCAGGUUGAAGGGCGUUUCCUUCACUAGCGGUUGAAGGUGUAGCCAUCCCUGGGCUGAUGGUCCUGGGUUCUGUAAGAAAGCAGACUGAGCAAGCCAGUGAGCAGCGCUCUCCAUGGCCUCUGCCUCCUCCUGCUCCUGCCUCCAGGUUCCUGCCCUGCUGGCGUCCCUGUCGUGACUUCCCUCAGUGACGGACUGUUACCUGGAAGUAUAAGCAACAUAAACCUUUUCCUUCCCGACUUGAUGUCGGGCAUGGUGUUUUGUCACAUCAAUAAAAAUCCCAGGACAACAACUAACCCACAAUAAAAAGGAGGAUAAUGAAGAGGCCUUAUACACAACUUACAAAGCCUUUCUUAGGCCAUUUUUAUAGACUGGUGUGAGGCAUGGGGUAUAAAUAGAAAAGUUGGUUUUAACAAGUAAAGCUGGUUUCCUAUUGCAGUUAACUAAGGCGGAGGUCACAGACUUUGCUGUUGUUUUAAAAUCUCCUAGGAACUUCUUAUAACAACAAACUUGUAGAUUGCUCCUCUGUCUGUGUUAGGGCCUGGAAAUCUUGUUUCACAUAGAUAAUGUAAUCUAAGCUUUAAUAACAGUCAUCAUUUCAAAAG